GCUUAGUCGUAAACUUAAAUAGUCCUAAAACAAGACUAUUCGCCAGAGUACUAUCGGCAACAGCCCAAAACUCAAAGGACUUGGCGGUGCUUCAUAUCCUUCUAGAGGAGCCUGUUCUGUAAACGAUAAACCACGAUUAACCUCACCAAUCCUUGCUACUUCAGUCUAUAUACCGCCAUCUUCAGCAAACCCUAAAAAAGGAACGAAAGUAAGCACAACUAUUGCACAUAAAAACGUUAGGUCAAGGUGUAACCUAUGGAUUGGGAAGAAAUGGGCUACAUUUUCUAUAAUAAGAACACCCCUUAAACUUACACGAAAGUUUUUAUGAAACCUAAAAACUAAAGGAGGAUUUAGCAGUAAAUUAAAAAUAGAAUGCUUAAUUGAAUAAGGNCAUGAAGAACGC
rnacentral:rRNA from 1 species